UAGUGGUUAGAGGAGACAGGUAGAGCCUAGUGGUUAGAGGAGGCAGGUAUCCUAGUGGUUAGAGGAGGCAGGUAGAGCCUAGUGGUUAGAGGAGGCAGGUAUAGCCUAGUGGUUAGAGGAGGCAGGUAGCCUAGUGGUUAGAGGAGGCAGGUAGCCUAGUGGUUAGAGGAGGCAGGUAGCCUAGUGGUUAGAGGAGGCAGGUAGUCUAGUGGUUAGAGGAGGCAGGUAGUCUAGUGGUUAGAGGAGGCAGGUACCCUAGUGGUUAGAGGAGGCAGGUAGUCUAGUGGUUAGAGGAGGCAGG
ensembl:lncRNA